UACAGAGGGGGCAAGCGUUGCUCGGAAUCACUGGGCGUAAAGGGCGCGUAGGCGGGCUGGCAAGUCGGUCGUGAAAUCUCUCGGCUCAACCGAGAAACGUCGGCCGAUACUGCCGUUCUUGAGGGAUGCAGAGGAGACUGGAAUUCCCGGUGUAGCGGUGAAAUGUGUAGAGAUCGGGAGGAACACCGGUGGCGAAGGCGGGUCUCUGGGCAUUUCCUGACGCUGAGGCGCGAAAGCGUGGGGAGCAAACGGG
rnacentral:rRNA from 1 species